rnacentral:rRNA from 1 species
GGUAAGACGAGGGAUCCUAGCGUUGUUCGGAAUUAUUGGGCGUAAAGCGGGUGUAGGUGGCUAUGUAAGUCAAGUGUGAAAGCCUGGGGCUCAACCCCAGAAGUGCAUUUGAUACUGCGUAGNUUGNGUGCUAGAGAGGAUAGUAGAAUUGUUGGUGUAGUGGUGAAAUACGUAGAUAUCAACAGGAAUACCGGUGGCGAAGNCGGCUAUCUGGCUAAGCACUGACACUCAGACCCGAAAGCGUGGGGAUCAAACAGGAUUAGAUACCCUGGUAGUCCACGCCGUAAACGAUGGAUACUUGUUGUUGGAGGUAUUGANCCCUUCAGUGACGAAGCUAACGCGUUAAGUAUCCCGCCUGGGGAGUACNGGUCNGCAAGAUUNAAAACUCAAAGAAANUGACGGGGNNCCGCACAAGCGGNNGAGCAUGUGGUUUAAUUCGAUGCAACGNNNAANAACCUUACCUANGCUUGACAUGUACUGGAAGAAAGNC